rnacentral:rRNA from 1 species
CCUACGGGAGGCAGCAGUGGGGAAUUUUGGACAAUGGGCGCAAGCCUGAUCCAGCAAUGCCGCGUGAGUGAAGAAGGCCUUCGGGUUGUAAAGCUCUUUUGUCAGGGAAGAAACGGUGGAGGUUAAUACCUUCUGCUAAUGACGGUACCUGAAGAAUAAGCACCGGCUAACUACGUGCCAGCAGCCGCGGUAAUACGUAGGGUGCAAGCGUUAAUCGGAAUUACUGGGCGUAAAGCGUGCGCAGGCGGUUGUGCAAGACAGAUGUGAAAUCCCCGGGCUCAACCUGGGGAUUGCAUUUGUGACUGUACGGCUAGAGUGUGUCAGAGGGGGGUAGAAUUCCACGUGUAGCAGUGAAAUGCGUAGAGAUGUGGAGGAAUACCGAUGGCGAAGGCAGCCCCCUGGGAUAACACUGACGCUCAUGCACGAAAGCGUGGGGAGCAAACAGGAUUAGAUACCCUGGUAGUCCACGCCCUAAACGAUGUCUACUAGUUGUCGGGUUCUUUAUGACUUGGUAACGCAGCUACGCGUGAGUAGACCGCCGUCGGGAGGUACGGUCGCGAGAGUAAACUACGAAUAGAGUUAGUAGGCGUGAGACGAGCCGACGGACGACGACGAGGGAGGAGG